rnacentral:lncRNA from 1 species
GUGCCCAAUGGCCGAAGAUGCUAUGUCCGAAGCUCUGUUCCGCCGCCCAUCGCCGCUCAAUCGCCGCCAUGGCAGCGCACUCCAUCUUUUUCUUCCCGGUCUUCGUGCUGCUCCAACUCUCUCUUCCACACAGCUAUAAAAAGGAGUACCAGAGCCCUACCGGAGUUCCCUUCGCCAUCGUUGCCUUGCCACAUCUUCCUCUGUUUCGUGCUCAAGCGCUGCCACCUAAGUUCUUG